rnacentral:rRNA from 1 species
GACGAACGCUGGCGGCGCGCUUAACACAUGCAAGUCGAACGGAAAGGCCUGCUUUCCCUUGUGGAUUGCGGGUACUCGAGUGGCGAACGGGUGAGUAACACGUGAGUGAUCUGCCCCCAACUUGGGUAUAAGCCUGGGAAACUGGGUCUAAUUCCCGAUAGGACUGCAGGGUGGUGCCUGUGGUGGAAAACGAUUUUCUAGUGGUUGGGGAUGAGCUCGCGGCCUAUCAGCUUGUUGGUGGGGUAAUGGCCUACGAAGGCGGCGACGGGUAGCCGGCCUGGGAGGGUGGACGGCCACAUUGGGACUGGGAUCCGGCCCAGACUCCUACGGGAGGCAGCAGUGGGGAAUAUUGCACCAUGGGCGGAAGCCUGAUGCAGCGACGCCGCGUGGGGGAUGACGGCCUUCGGGUUGUAAACUCCUUUCGACCGCGAGGAAGCCACCUGGUUGGAAGGGUGGUGACGGUAGUGGUAGAAGAAGCACCGGCUAACUACGUG